rnacentral:rRNA from 1 species
AGACGUAGGGGGCUAGCGUUGUUCGGAAUUACUGGGCGUAAAGGGCGUGUAGGCGGCCUUGCAAGUCAGUGGUGAAACACCUGGGCUUAACCGAGGUAUUGCCGUUGAAACUGCAGGGCUUGAGGGUAGAAGAGGAGUGUGGAAUUCCCGGUGUAGCGGUGAAAUGCGUAGAGAUCGGGAGGAACACCAGUGGCGAAGGCGGCACUCUGGUCUACCCCUGACGCUGAGGCGCGAAAGCUAGGGGAGCAAACAGGAUUAGAUACCCUGGUAGUCCUAGCCGUAAACGAUGGGCACUAGGUGUAGGAGGUUUAGAUACCUUCUGUGCCGUAGCUAACGCAUUAAGUGCCCCGCCUGGGGAGUACGGUCGCAAGGCUGAA